AUUGAACGCUGGCGGUAUGCUUAACACAUGCAAGUCGAACGGUAACAGGCCUUCGGGCGCUGACGAGUGGCGGACGGGUGAGUAACGCGUAGGAAUCUGCCUCAUAGUGGGGGACAACGUGGGGAAACUCACGCUAAUACCGCAUACGCCCUACGGGGGAAAGCGGGGGAUCUUCGGACCUCGCGCUAUGAGAUGAGCCUGCGUUAGAUUAGCUAGUUGGUAGGGUAAAGGCCUACCAAGGCGACGAUCUAUAGCUGGUCUGAGAGGACGAUCAGCCACACUGGGACUGAGACACGGCCCAGACUCCUACGGGAGGCAGCAGUGGGGAAUAUUGGACAAUGGGCGCAAGCCUGAUCCAGCAAUACCGCGUGUGUGAAGAAGGCCUUAGGGUUGUAAAGCACUUUCAAUUGGAGGAAAACCUGCCGGUCAAUACCCGGUAGCUUGACAUUACCUUUAGAA
rnacentral:rRNA from 1 species